CUUCCCUACGGGAGGCAGCAGUGGGGAAUAUUGGACAAUGGGGGAAACCCUGAUCCAGCGACGCCGCGUGAGUGAAGAAGUAUUUCGGUACGUAAAGCUCUAUCAGCAGGAAAGAAAAUGACGGUACCUGACUAAGAAGCCCCGGCUAACUACGUGCCAGCAGCCGCGGUAAUACGUAGGGGGCAAGCGUUAUCCGGAUUUACUGGGUGUAAAGGGAGCGCAGACGGCAGCGCAAGUCUGGAGUGAAAGCCCGGGGCCCAACCCCGGAACUGCUCUGGAAACUGUGCGACUAGAGUACUGGAGGG
rnacentral:rRNA from 1 species